CAGCCGCCACGGGAAUACAGAGGGUGCGGGCGUUAAUCGGAUUUACUGGGCGUAAAGAGCUCGUAGGCGGUUUGUCGCGUCUGCCGUGAAAGUCCGGGGCUCAACCCCGGAUCUGCGGUGGGUACGGGCAGACUAGAGUGAUGUAGGGGAGACUGGAAUUCCUGGUGUAGCGGUGAAAUGCGCAGAUAUCAGGAGGAACACCGAUGGCGAAGGCAGGUCUCUGGGCAUUAACUGACGCUGAGGAGCGAAAGCAUGGGGAGCGAACAGGAUUAGAUACCCCGUAGUCCCUGUCUCUUAUACA
rnacentral:rRNA from 1 species